AACGUAGGAGACAAACGUUAUCCGGAGUUACUGGGCGUAAAGGGCGUGUAGGUGGUUUCGUAAGUCUGGCGUGAAAUUUCUCGGCUUAACCGAGGCAGGUCGUCGGAUACUGCGGAACUAGAGGACGGUAGAGGCGUGUGGAAUUCCGGGUGUAGUGGUGAAAUGCGUAGAGAUCCGGAGGAACACCAGUGGCGAAGGCGGGUCUCUGGGCCGAUACUGACGCUGAGGAGCGAAAGCGUGGGGAGCGAACAGG
rnacentral:rRNA from 1 species